rnacentral:rRNA from 1 species
UAAUGUAUGGGGAUCUGCCCGAUAGAGGGGGAUAACUACUGGAAACGGUGGCUAAUACCGCAUAAUGUCUACGGACCAAAGCAGGGGCUCUUCGGACCUUGCACUAUCGGAUGAACCCAUAUGGGAUUAGCUAGUAGGUGGGGUAAAGGCUCACCUAGGCGACGAUCUCUAGCUGGUCUGAGAGGAUGAUCAGCCACACUGGGACUGAGGCACGGCCCAG